rnacentral:miRNA from 1 species
GGGCCCCCGGCUCCCUGUACACCGCAGAGAGGGCCCUGCACACUCCAUCUCCACUUCCCAGCUGCUCUUCUCUCUCCAAGUCUCACGAGUUGCACGGAGCGGCGCCAUGGUAACCCGUGGCAACACUCUGACAGCCGUGCAGCUCGCGAGACUUGGAGAGAGAAGUGGAGAUGGAGUGUGCAGGGCCGUCUCUGCGGUGUACAGGGAGCCGAGGGUCC